CUUGGUUACGGACAAUGUUACAUGUGUUGUUGACUUCCUAAUGUUUAACAAUUAAAUACUUGCCUUACCUGCACAUUGUCCUCCUAUCUCCUGCGUCUUGGGGUCCCAUCACAAUUACCGCAAAAAUGUCAGAAUAUACGACUUGGCUCAGAGAGGAAAGUUUGGAAAAGUCGUGGUAUUUUGGAGGCCUUGACGGAACACAGGCUGUCUGUUCUUGGCUGCUUCUGCGCUGAGCAGGAAGUGGAGGCAGGAGGUGGUCUGGGGUGUGUGGUGCACCUUAAGGACACCUGCAGGAAGAGGACGCAGCACACACAUCGGGAUGAUGAUCCUCGAAAUCAAAUGACGUUUGGAGCGUUCGAUAUCCUAGACUCGUCUGUACUGGCUUAUUAGUCAGCAGGAUUACACCCAAGCAUCUCAAAACCUCAUUGAGCAAUGCGGCAAGGAGCAACUUCAGUGUUUGCUUAGGAUCUUGACAAGAGGACAAACCACAUGUUCCAGGGAGAAAUCCUGGGAUGGCAGCCCCCCAAAACGAAGCUCUCCUGCCCAAUAUACCUCCCCUACUCCCGCCUUGAUUGUGUUUUACUUACCAGGAG